CAAAAUGUCCAUACAAAAAUCAGGAUAGUCCACUCAUCAAGCAAUCUACACGUGGAUAUUGGAUGUAUAUCAUGAGCAAGUUUUUAUUCUAAAAGAUAGUAACUGGUGGUUCACAUGAUGAUUAGACAAAUUAUUGGUAUUCUUUCAUAAGUUAUUUGGCUUGGCAUAGGCAAAUAAAUAAAGACAAAUGUCAUAAAUGAUAGAUAUUGGUUUUACGUAAAAUCAUAUCAAUGUGAUUUACAAGGUAUAUUAUUAUGAAGAUGGUACAUGUACAAUGACUAAAGAUCACAAGCAACUAGUUUAAUCUGCAUGUGUAGGAUGAUAGUUCAUGUUCACAGUAGAAUGAUCUUUUCUCCACUUUAGCUUGAGGAAAUGGUCUAAUUUCAGGGUUUGCCACAUCUUAAUGUUAGAAUAAAGUGGUAGAAUGAUCUUGGUCAACCCAAUUGGCCAAGAGAUCUAUUAUCCACUUCUUCUAACAAUCAAGUGUUUGUACAUGAAAUUAUUCUACUUUCAUGAGAAAUCUGAAGUGCUUCUCUCAAUCUGCUAAUUUGAUUACGUGGAAACCCGAAGAUAUGCAUUAUUUGAUUGAUUUCUUCUUAAUAGUCAGGACCUAUUAAGCAGCUGUUCCUUCACAAGCUCAAUCGCUCAUAGGUGCAUAUAUAUCCAAAUGCACAGAACCAGUGGGCUGCAGGUUAUGGACUUCAACCUCAAGCUUGGCCACAGGCUCCUCAAGCACCGGGCCAGCAGUGGAAUCCUGCCUAUUCUCAACAGAUUUCCAUCAUUAUUUAACUGCACAAAUGCAGCCAAUGGGAAGCUCAUAUGGGGCAGUUCCUUGGCAAGAAGGGAGUAACUGCUGAUCUACUAAUGGCUGGAUAGAUAAAUGUUGGAGUAUCUUGGAUUCAUCAGCUGAGUAUUAUUGCCUGGAUGACUUAUGGAAGCAACAGUUAAGAGUUAAGUGGUUCAUGUUUACAGGUGGUUGAUUUGUUAUACGUCUUUCAUUUCAUUCUUGUUUUGUUUGUUGAAUAGACUUUUUAUCGGUCUUGUUCAUAUGUAUUAGAGAUCAAGGAGUUUUAUCUGUUUUUGUCUCUUAUGCAUUCAUGCAAAUUUAAUUAAUUUACAGUUUAUAGCUAA